UACGUAGGGUGCAAGCGUUAUCCGGAAUUAUUGGGCGUAAAGAGCUCGUAGGCGGUUUGUCGCGUCUGCUGUGAAAACUGGAGGCUCAACCUCCAGCCUGCAGUGGGUACGGGCAAACUAGAGUGCGGUAGGGGAGAUUGGAAUUCCUGGUGUAGCGGUGGAAUGCGCAGAUAUCAGGAGGAACACCGGUGGCGAAGGCGGAUCUCUGGGCCUUACCUGACGCUCAGGUGCGAAAGCGUGGGGAGCGAACAGG
rnacentral:rRNA from 1 species